rnacentral:tRNA from 1 species
GGGCCCGUAGCUCAGCAUGGACAGAGCGUGGGCCUCCGGAGCCCAAGGUCAGGGGUUCGAGUCCCCUCGGGCCCGCCA